CUCGUAGUUCCCAGGUGGGAUGCUUCCGCGUCAGCUGAGGCGCCCAGGAGGUUUCCCCCCCAAACGCCGAGCAUCCAUCGUUUACGGCGUGGACUACCCGGGUAUCUAAUCCGGUUCGCUCCCCACGCUGUCGCACUUGAGUGUCAGAUACUGCCCAGGUAGGUCCCUUCGGCCUUGGUGUUCCUGCUGAUCUCUACGCAUUUCACCACUACACCAGCAAUUCCCCUACCCUCUGCAGUCCUCGAGCCGUGCAGUCUAUACUGGCCUCCCCGUGUUAAGCACGGGGCUUUCACAGCAUACUUGCACAGCCACCUGCAUGCGCUUUACACCCAGUAAGUCCGGACAACGCUUGCCCCCUCUGUAUUACCGCGGCUGCUGGCACAGAGUGAGCCGGGGCUUAUUCCGGGGGUACCGUCAUUAUCGUCCCCCCAAAAAGCAGUUUACAACCCGAAAGCCGUCAUCCUGCACGCGGCGUUGCUCGUUCAGGCUUGCGCCCAUUG
rnacentral:rRNA from 1 species